AUUGAACGCUGGCGGCAUGCCUUACACAUGCAAGUCGAACGGCAGCACGGGUGCUUGCCCCUGGUGGCGAGUGGCGAACGGGUGAGUAAUACAUCGGAACAUGUCCUGUAGUGGGGGAUAGCCCGGCGAAAGCCGGAUUAAUACCGCAUAAGAUCUACGGAUGAAGGCGGGGGACCUUCGGGCCUCGCGCUAUAGGGUUGGCCGAUGGCUGAUUAGCUAGUUGGUGGGGUAAAGGCCUACCAAGGCGACGCUCAGUACCUGGUCUGAGAGGACGACCAGCCACACUGGGACUGAGACACGGCCCAGACUCCUACGGGAGGAGGCAGUGGGGAAUUUUGGACAAUGGGCGAAAGCCUGAUCCAGCAAUGCCGCGGGUGUGAGGAAGGCCUUCGGGUUGUAAAGCACUUUUGUCCGGAAAGAAAUCCUUGGCCCUAAUACGGUCGGGGGAUGACGGUACCGGAAGAAUAAGCACCGGCUAACUACGUG
rnacentral:rRNA from 1 species